CCCUUAGAUGUCCUGGGCCGCACGCGUGCUACACUGACGCAUACAGCGGGCACUUUCCAGUUCCGAGAGGCUACUGGUAAUCAUCAAUAUGCGUCGUGAUGGGGAUAGAUCUUUGGAAUUCUGGAUCUUGAACGAGGAAUGCCUAGUAAUCGCAGGUCAUUAGCCUGCGAUGAUUAAGUCCCUGCCCUUUGUACACACCGCCCGUCGCUACUACCGAUUUCGAGUGGUCAGGUGAAUCUUUCGGACUGUGGGCGCCCUUGAGGUGUUCGCGGAAAGUCAGGUAAAUCUUAUCACUUAGAGGAAGUAAAAGUCGUAACA
rnacentral:rRNA from 1 species